GCAAGUCGAGGGGUAACAGGAGAAAGCUUGCUUUUUUGCUGACGACCGGCGCACGGGUGCGUAACGCGUAUACAAUCUACCUUGUACUGAGGGAUAGCCUUUGGAAACGAAGAUUAAUACUUCAUGGUCUAUUUGAAUGGCAUCAUUUAAAUAGUAAAGAUUACGGUACAAGAUGAGUAUGCGUCCUAUUAGUUUGUUGGUGUGGUAACGGCACACCAAGACUACGAUAGGUAGGGGUCCUGAGAGGGAGAUC
rnacentral:rRNA from 1 species